AAUCUAUGAUGAUCCUAUUGCAAACAUGAAUUUCUGUUGACAAAACUUAAUUAUAGAUCAGGCUUCUAAGAU
rnacentral:snoRNA from 1 species